GGCUGAAUGGUGUAGUGGUUAGUAACCCUGACUGCUAUGCGGAAGGUCCCGGGUUCGAUUCCCGGCUGGGGCA
rnacentral:tRNA from 1 species